AGAGAUGCAUUGGGUUUAAAGGGUGCGCAGGCGGUUUUUGUAAGACAGAGGUGAAAUCCCCGGGCUCAACCUGGGAACUGCCUUUGUGACUGCAAGGCUGGAGUGCGGCAGAGGGGGAUGGAAUUCCGCGUGUAGCAGUGAAAUGCAUAGAUAUGCGGAGGAACACCGAUGGCGAAGGCAAUCCCCUGGGCCUGCACUGACGCUCAUGCACGAAAGCGUGGGGAGCAAACA
rnacentral:rRNA from 1 species